rnacentral:rRNA from 1 species
GACGAACGCUGGCGGCGUGCUUAACACAUGCAAGUCGAACGGAAAGGCCCUGCUUUUGUGGGGUGCUCGAGUGGCGAACGGGUGAGUAACACGUGAGUAACCUGCCCUUGACUUUGGGAUAACUUCAGGAAACUGGGGCUAAUACCGGAUAGGAGCCCCUGCUGCAUGGUGGGGGUUGGAAAGUUUCGGCGGUUGGGGAUGGACUCGCGGCUUAUCAGCUUGUUGGUGGGGUAGUGGCUUACCAAGGCUUUGACGGGUAGCCGGCCUGAGAGGGUGACCGGCCACAUUGGGACUGAGAUACGGCCCAGACUCCUACGGGAGGCAGCAGUGGGGAAUAUUGCACAAUGGGCGGAAGCGUGAUGCAGCAACGCCGCGUGCGGGAUGACGGCCUUCGGGUUGUAAACCGCUGUCGCCUGUGACGAAGCGUGAGUGACGGUAAUGGGUAAAGAAGCACCGGCUAACUACGUG